GACUACAGAUUGAUCACCAAAGAUCGACCAAAUGCCGGCAUCGUUGAGGUUUUCAACCAGGACAUCGGAUGGGGGCUCGUUUGUCAAAACAAUUGGAACUUCGAACUAGCAAGUAUAGCUUGUCGUCAGCUAAACUUUCCAGGAACUUCUCGACAUCUUACGGCAGUUUUUUUCGACGACGGAGAUGAGUGGUCGAUGUCAGUAACUAAUAAUAUAUCAACAUAUUUUACAGGCUGUUCAGUUAAUGGGCCGAACAUGCAAUGUGAUACGAACAACGGAGGUGGUAGCUGUAAUUUCAACUAUAUGAUAGCAGCCGUUUCCUGCAAAGAACCAGGUUAUAUUGGAUGUUUCAGGG